rnacentral:snoRNA from 1 species
AAUCCAUGGUGAGGUCGCCUUCUUAAUAAGUCCUUGUAUCUCUGCCAUGCAUCAUAAAGAGUUUCUAGAUCCAUCUGAACAAAAGAAGAGAUGUCAUUCCUCAAUUU